GGCGGCUCCACGUGCUAGUCCUACUACUCCUUUGUCAUGGAGUGGCGGCACAUCUGUUAGUUGUGGAGGUGGCGGUGGUAGUGGUGGCGCCGUUGAUGGUGGCUGUGAAGAGUCUAGCGGAUCUCCUCAUCCGCUAUACAAAACUCCAAGCAGCACGAGAUCUAAGACUUUGCUGGACUCUCAGGUUAAUGGUACUAGUGAUGCUACCACCAGCAAGAGGUCAAGGAAGAAAAAGACAUUGGCUGAGCUGAAAAUGGAUGAGAUCAUGCUAAUUAAGGAAAGAAAGCAAUUGAAGAAGCAAGUGGCUUUACUACGCGCUAGUGUGGAGAAUCAGAGGGAAACAAAUCAAAAACUGAAAAGAAUGAAGCUCGAUGUGCUCCCUCAGCAGGCAAAUGAAAGAGGCACAACUGUUGCAUAUGAUGGAAUUUCGGGUCAGUAUCAGCAAGAGGUUCAACCAAGCUAUCCAGUCAUUCCCAUCUUACUGGAGAAAGCUGCAAACAAGGUUGCAGUAUCGCCAUCAUCUCUGGAAAAGCAGCAAGAUGUCUCAGAUUUGGAUUCCAACUUUGUACUCCCAGACCUCAACAUUCCAUUUGGCGAGGCUUCUGGCUCUGACAAUCUCUGGGGGUGAAGUGAAAUACUUCUGCAUAACAGGGGAUCCUCCAACACAGAAAGACAAGUAUAAACUAGUAAGGGCUAACCCUGUUAUAGGAUGAUUUAUGGAUUCAGUAGUAAGUAAAGACUUUCUUUCCUUCACCACUUGUCAAACAGAAGCUGCGAAAGUGGAUUUUUAGUCAUGAAGGUACUGAGGGUAGUUAGGAUCUGUGAUAUUUCUUUGAGAAGAUGUCAACCAUAGGUUAGAGAUCCUAACUUACUAGUUGCAGUAGACAGUUUCUUUUUUUUUUCUGACAGAUUUCUUCAGUGUCCGAUUCUUUGGGGCCAACCCUCAUUCCUUCAUAGUUUC
rnacentral:misc_RNA from 1 species